rnacentral:rRNA from 1 species
UCGUCCGCCCUGGGUAAGUCGGGACCUAAGGCCAGGCCGAAAGGCGUAGUCGAUGGACAGCAGGUUGAUAUUCCUGCACCCGCGAGUAAAGUGAUGGAGUGACAGAUAGGGUUAACCCAAGUCCUGAAUGGAUUGGGCAAGGCAAGCAGGAGAGUGGCGUAGGCAAAUCCGCGCCGGAUACUCAAAGGCUUGACUCAAGCGAACGCGCGAGCAAGUAGUGAAGAGGGUGAUACCAGGUCUCAAGAAAAGCUUCUAGCGAUAAUUUACUAGCGGCCCGUACCAAAACCGACACAGGUGGUUGAGGCGAGUAGCCUAAGGUGAGCGAGAGAACUGUUGCCAAGGAACUCGGCAAAUUGACCCCGUACGUUAGCAAUAAGGGGUGCUCGAAAGAGCCGCAGUGAAUAGGCCCUAGCAACUGUUUAACUAAAACAUAGCUCUCUGCGAAGUCGCAAGACGAAGUAUAGGGGGUGACACCUGCCCGGUGCUGGAAGGUCAAGGGGAUUUGUCAGACGCAAGUCGAAGCAUUGAACCGAAGCCCCAGUGAACGGCGGCCGUAACUAUAACGGUCCUAAGGUAGCGAAAUUCCUUGUCAGGUAAGUUCUGACCCGCACGAAAGGUGUAAUGAUUUGGGCACUGUCUCGGCAGCAGACUCGGUGAAAUCUUAGUACCUGUGAAGAUGCAGGUUACCCGCAACUAGACGGAAAGACCCCAUGGAGCUUUACUGUAGUCUGCUAUUGAGUUUCGGUUAAGUAUGCACAGGAUAGGUGGGAGACGAUGAGACUGGUCUUUCGGGAUCAGAGGAGUCACUGUUGGGAUACCACUCUUACUUAAUUGAAAUUCUAACUCUAAGCCGUGAUCCGGCUAGAGGACCGUGGCAGAUGGGCAGUUUGACUGGGGCGGUCGCCUCCCAAAGAGUAACGGAGGCGCACAAAGGUACUCUCAGAAUGGUUGGAAAUCAUUCAUCGAGCGCAAACGCAGAAGAGUGCUUGACUGCGAGACAAACAAGUCGAGCAGGGACGAAAGUCGGUGUUAGUGAUCCGGCGGUGCAGAAUGGAAUGGCCGUCGCUUAACGGAUAAAAGCUACCCUGGGGAUAACAGGCUGAUCUCGCCCAAGAGUUCACAUCGACGGCGAGGUUUGGCACCUCGAUGUCGGCUCAUCGCAUCCUGGAGGUGAAUUCGCUUCCAAGGGUUGGGCUGUCCGCCCAUUAAAGCGGUACGCGAGCUGGGUUCAGAACGUCGUGAGACAGUUCGGUCCCUAUCUGUUGUGGGCGUUGGAAAUUUGAGGAGAGCUGCCCCUAGUACGAGAGGACCAGGGUGGACGUUCCUACGGUGCACCAGUUGUCACGCCAGUGGCAUAGCUGGAUAGCUGAGAACGGACCGGAUAAACGCUGAAGGCAUCUAAGCGUGAAACCGACUCCAAGAUUAGAUUUCCCAUCAUUUCAAAUGAAUAAGACCCCUUGAAGACGACGAGGUUGAUAGGUCAGAGAUGUAAGUGUAGCGAUACAUUCAGUUGACUGAUACUAAUAGGUCGAAGAUUUAUUCAC